rnacentral:rRNA from 1 species
UCCAGACUCCUACGGGAGGCAGCAGUGGGGGAUAUUGCACAAUGGGGGGAACCCUGAUGCAGCGACGCCGCGUGGGUGAAGGAGCGUUUCGGCGCGCAAAGCCCUAUCGGCAGGGAAGAAGGAGGACGGUACCUGACUAAGAAGCCCCGGCUAACUACGUGCCAGCAGCCGCGGUAAUACGUAGGGGGCAAGCGUUAUCCGGAUUUACUGGGUGUAAAGGGGGCGCAGACGGCAGCGCAAGCCAGGAGUGAAAGCCCGGGGCCCAACCCCGGGACUGCUCUUGGAACUGCGCGGCUGGAGUGCAGGAGGGGCAGGCGGAAUUCCUGGUGUAGCGGUGAAAUGCGUAGAUAUCAGGAGGAACACCGGUGGCGAAGGCGGCCUGCUGGACUGCGACUGACGUUGAGGCCCGAAAGCGUGGGGAGCAAACAGGAUUAGAUACCCCGGUA